rnacentral:rRNA from 1 species
CCUACGGGAGGCAGCAGUGGGGAAUAUUGCACAAUGGGGGAAACCCUGAUGCAGCGACGCCGCGUGAGUGAAGAAGUAUUUCGGUAUGUAAAGCUCUAUCAGCAGGGAAGAAAAUGACGGUACCUGAUCAAGAAGCACCGGCUAACUACGUGCCAGCAGCCGCGGUAAUACGUAGGGGGCAAGCGUGAUCCGGAUUUACUGGGUGGAAAGGGAGCGUAGACGGCAGCACAAGUCUGGAGUGAAAUGCCGGGGCUUAACCCCGGAACUGCUUUGGAAACUGUGCAGCUAGAGUGCAGGAGAGGUGAGUGGAAUUCCUGGUGUAGCUGUGAAAUGCGUAGAUAUUAGGAGGAACACCAGUGGCGAAGGCGGCUUACUGGACUGUAACUGACGUUGAGGCUCGAAAGCGUGGGGAGCAAACAGGAUUAGAUACCCGUGUAGUC